GCGGUUCGGAUUUGAAGGGAGCUGACUGUAAAUCAGCCGCCUCAUGGCUUCGCAGGUUCGAGUCCUGCCUCCCCCCACCA
rnacentral:tRNA from 2 species